rnacentral:rRNA from 1 species
UACGGAGGGUGCAAGCAUUAAUCGGAUUUUUUGGGCAUAAAGGGCGCGUAGGCGGCCCAGCAAGUCAGAUGUGAAAUCCCGGGGCUCAACCCCGGAAUAGCAUUUGAAACUCCUGGGCUAGAGGGUAGGCGGGGAAAACGGAAUUCCACAAGUAGCGGUGAAAUGCGUAGAUAUGUGGAAGAACAUCGGUGGCGAAGGCGGUUUACUAGCUUAUUUCCUGACGCUGAGGCGCGAAAGCUAGGGGAGCAAACAGG